GUACAGCAUGAUGGGUGCUCUUUCACUUCUUCUGUCUGGUGACUCUUCCGCGUUGUGUUGGGAGGUGCCACCGGAUAGUUGCAGUGAUGGGGCUGAGAUUAUACCAUUACGAACUUGAUCUGGAUAAUUCCAGCGAAAGGACAUGCUUCUCCCUGUUU
rnacentral:ncRNA from 1 species